AGUUAAGUUAAUAAGGGCGUACAGUGAAUGCCUUGGCACUAUAAGGCGAUGAAAGACGCGACUACCUGCGAUAAGCUUGGGGGAGCUGGACGUAAGCAUUGAUCCCAAGAUUUCUGAAUGGGGGAACCCGGCAUGAGUUAUAUCAUGUCAUCCAUUGAUGAAUACAUAGUCAAUGAGAAGGAAUACCUAGGGAAUUGAAACAUCUUAGUACCUAGAGGAAAAGAAAGAGAAUUCGAUUCCGUCAGUAGCGGCGAGCGAAAGCGGAACAGCCCAAACCAACCUUGAGUUGGGGUUAGGACCACGUUAUGAGAUGUGUACAUUCGAGAAGAAUCACUUGGGAAGGUGAGCCAUAGAGGGUGACAGCCCCGUAUUCAUAGGAGUGUAUGACUCUAGUGGGAUCCAGAGUACGGCGAGGCACGUGGAACCUUGUCGGAAUGUGUGCAGACCAUUGCAUAAGGCUAAAUACUAGAUAGUGACCGAUAGUGAACCAGUACCGUGAGGGAAAGGUGAAAAGAACCCCGGGAGGGGAGUGAAAAGAAUCUGAAACUGUAUGCCUACAAGAAGUCAGAGGGCGUUAAUGCCUGAUGACGUGCCUAUUGAAGAAUGAGCCGGCGAGUUAUGAUAUCAUGCAAGGUUAAGUGGAAGACACGGAGCCGUAGCGAAAGCGAGUCUGAUAAGGGCCAUAGUAUGAUGUCAUAGACCCGAAACGGGAUGAUCUAGCCAUGAGCAGGUUGAAACUGGGGUACAACCCAGCGGAGGACCGAACCGACGUUCGUUGAAACGCCCGCGGAUGACUUGUGGCUAGUGGUGAAAUUCCAAUCGAAUUCCGUGAUAGCUGGUUCUCCCCGAAAUAGUUUUAGGACUAGCGUUAGAAUUAAGCUUGGUGGAGGUAGAGCACUGAUAGUAUGAUGGCCGCAUCUCGCGGUACUGAAUGCUCUCAAACUCCGAAUGCCAUCAAGUAUAUCUGGCAGUCAGACUGUGGGAGAUAAGUUCCAUGGUCAAAAGGGAAACAGCCCAGACCGUCAAAUAAGGUCCCUAAGUUUAUGCUAAGUGUUAAAGGAUGUAGAGACGCUUAAACAACUAGGAUGUUGGCUCAGAAGCAGCCAUCAUUUAAAGAGUGCGUAACAGCUCACUAGUCGAGUAUCUCCGCGCCGAAAAUUUACCGGGGCUAAGCAUAACACCGAAUUUACGGAUUGAAAUAUUUCAGUGGUAGGGGAGCGUUCUAUAUGCGGUGAAGUCAUACCGGAAGGAGUGGUGGAGCGUAUAGAAGUGAGUAUGCCGGCGUGAGUAACGAAACUGGGUGAGAAUCCCAGUCACCGUUUGACUAAGGUUUCCUGGGGAAGGUUCGUCCGCCCAGGGUUAGUCGGGACCUAAGGCGAGGCCGACAGGCGUAGUCGAUGGACAACAGGUUGAUAUUCCUGUACCCGUAUAUAUGCGAUGUAGUGACAGAGAGGGCUAAUCAAUCCGCCUACUGGAUGGCGGUCCAAGCAAGGUACCUUGUGCAUAGGCAAAUCCGUGCACUUUAAGGGGAAUAUGUGAUGGGGAGCGAACGGCUUCGGCCAAGUAGCGAAGUUGAUGAUGCCAGCUCUCGAGAAAAGCUGCUAGCUUAAGUAUAUGCGGCCCGUACCGAGAACGAACACACGUGGUCAAGGAGAGUAUCCUAAGGUGAGCGAGAUAACUAUUGUUAAGGAACUCUGCAAAAUUACUUCGUAAGUUAGCGAGAAGAAGUGCUGCAGCGAUGCAGUCGCAGUGAAGAGGCCCAGGUAACUGUUUAACAAAAACACAGCUCUAUGCUAAGUCGUAAGACGAUGUAUAUGGGGUGAUGCCUGCCCAGUGCUGGAAGGUUAAAAGGAGGAGUCAGCGCAAGCGAAGCCCUGAAUUGAAGCCCCAGUGAACGGCGGCCGUAACUAUAACGGUCCUAAGGUAGCGAAAUUCCUUGUCAGGUAAGUUNNNNNNNNNNNNNNNNNNNNCGGUGAAAUCUUAUUACCUGUGAAGAUGCAGGUUACCCGCGACUAGACGGAAAGACCCCAUGGAGCUUUACUGUAAGUUAAUAUUGAAUGCUUGUAAUUCAUGUACAGGAUAGGUGGGAGACGGUGAAUCCGGGACGUCAGUUUCGGGGGAGUCAAUCUUGGGAUACCACUCUUGGAUUAUGAGCAUUCUAACCUUGGUCCUACACGGGAUCGGGGACAGUGUUAGCUGGGCAGUUUGACUGGGGCGGUCGCCUCCCAAAAUGUAACGGAGGCGCCCCAAGGUACCCUCAGCAUGGUUGGAAAUCAUGCAUCGAGUGCAAUGGCAUAAGGGUGCUUGACUGCGAGACAGACAAGUCGAGCAGGGACGAAAGUCGGGCAUAGUGAUCCGGCGGUGCCGUAUGGAAGGGCCGUCGCUCAACGGAUAAAAGCUACCCUGGGGAUAACAGGCUGAUCGCGUCCAAGAGUUCACAUCGACGACGCGGUUUGGCACCUCGAUGUCGGCUCAUCGCAUCCUGGAGGGGAAGUACCUUCCAAGGGUAUGGCUGUUCGCCAUUUAAAGCGGUACGCGAGCUGGGUUCAAAACGUCGUGAGACAGUUUGGUCCCUAUCUGUCGUGGGCGUAGGAAUUUUGACAGGAGCUGUCCCUAGUACGAGAGGACCGGGAUGGACGUAGCAAUGGUGCACCAGUUGUCACGCCAGUGGCACGGCUGGGUAGCUACCUACGGAACGGAUAAACGCUGAAAGCAUCUAAGCGUGAAACCGACCUGAAGAUGAGAAUUCCCAUUCGUAAGAAGUAAGAUCCCUUGAAAGUGACAAGGUUGAUAGGUUACAGAUGUACGCACAGUGAUGUGUUUAGUCGAGUAAUACUAAUAGAUCGAGGACUUAAGAUUU
rnacentral:rRNA from 1 species